GGGGGGGGGGGGGGGGGGGCGGGGGGCGGGGGGGGCGGGCGGGGGGGGCCGGCGGGUGGGGGGUGCGCGAGGGGCGAGCGGGUGAGUAGCACGUGAGUAACCUGCCCUUGACUGUGGGAUAACUGCAGGAAACUGGGGCUAAUACCGGAUAGGAGCUCCUGCUGCAUGGUGGGGGUUGGAAAGUUUCGGCGGUUGGGGAUGGACUCGCGGCUUAUCAGCUUGUUGGUGGGGUAGUGGCUUACCAAGGCUUUGACGGGUAGCCGGCCUGAGAGGGUGACCGGCCACAUUGGGACUGAGAUACGGCCCAGACUCCUACGGGAGGCAGCAGUGGGGAAUAUUGCACAAUGGGCGGAAGCCUGAUGCAGCAACGCCGCGUGCGGGAUGACGGCCUUCGGGUUGUAAACCGCUUUCGCCUGUGACGAAGCGUGAGUGACGGUAAUGGGUAAAGAAGCACCGGCUAACUACGUG
rnacentral:rRNA from 1 species